ACUCCCAUUGGUGUUGGUUUUCUAAAAGAAGCCAAUCAGCGUCUCCGCGGUCCCGGUUCUAAAGUUCCCACGCACCCACUGGGACUCAAAUUCUCCCCAGACACUGAGGAUGGGGUCAUGGCGCCCCGAACCCUCCUCCUUCUGCUCUCUGGGGCCCUGGCCCUGACCCAUAUCUGGGCGGGCUCCCACUCCAUGAGGUAUUUCUACACCGCCGUGUCCCGGCCCGGCAGCGGGGAGCCCCGCUUCAUCUCCCUGGGCUACGUGGACUGCACACAGUUCGUGCGGUUCGACAGCGGCGCAGCGAGUCCGAGAGGGGAGCCGCGGGCGCGGUGGAUGGAGCAGGAAAGGCCGGAUUAUUGGGACCCGGAGACACUGACCCUGAAGGCCAGCGUACAGACUCACCGAGGGAACCUGUGGACCCUGCUCUGCUACCCCAAUCAGAGCACGGCCGGCUCUCACACUCUCCAGAUGAACUAUGACUGCGACCCGGGGCCUGAUGGGCGCCUCCUCCGCGGGUAUUAACAACAUGCCUAUGACUGCAAGGAUUACGUGGCCUGAAGGAGAACCUGCUCUCUUGGAUAGCGGCUGACGUGGCUGUUCAGAUUACCCAGCGCAAGUUGGAGGGCGCCCAUGAGGCGGAGGGGGCUCAGAGCCUACCUGGAGGGCACAUGUCUGAAGUGGCUCCGCAGAUACCUGGCCAAGGGCAAGGAGACACUGCAGCAUACGGAUACCAGGGGCAACUGCCCAGAAACACAUGUGAUCCACAAAGCCACCCUGAGGUGCUGGGCCCUGGGUUCUACCCUGCAUAGAUCACACUGACCUCGCAGAGGGAUGGGGAGGACCAAACUCAGAACACAGAGCUUGUGGAGACCAGGUCAGCAGGGGACAGAACCUUCUGGAAGUGGAUGGCUGUGGUGGUGCCUUCUGGAGAAGUGCAGAGAUAUACCUACCAUAUGCAACAUGAGGGGCUGCUGGAGCUCCUCACCCUGAGGUGGGAGCCGUUUUCCCAGCCCACCAUUCCCAUCGUGGGCAUCGUUGCUGGCCUGGAUUUCCUUGGAGCUGUGGUCAUCAGAGCUAUGGUAACUGCUGUGAUGUGGAGGAGGAAGAGCUCAGGUAGGGAAGGGGUGAGGGGUGGGGUCUGGGUUUUUUUGUCCCACUGAGGCCUUUAAGCCCCAGGGAGAAGUGUUCCCUGCCUCAUUACUGGGAAGCACCAUCCAAACAUGGGCCGACCCAGCCUGGGGCCCUCUGUGUCAGUACUAUUUUGUGAAGUACAUGUGACAAUGAAGGACAGAUGUAUCACCUUGAUGACUGUGGUGUUGGGGCCUUGAUUCCAGCAUUCAUGAGUCAGAGGAAGGUCCCUGCUAAGGACAGACCUUAGGAGGAUGGUUGGUCCAGGACCCACAUCUGCUUUCCUCAUGUUUUCUGAUUCUGCUCUGGGUCUGUAGUCACUGUGGCUAGAAUCUUUUCCUGGAGGAACGUUUCUUGGAGCCUCCAAGUCUAGGAGGCUUCUCUAAGAUCUCAUGGCCCUGCCUCCUCCCUGCCCCCUCACUGGACAUUUUCUUCCCACUGGCAUAAAAGGAGGGAGCUACUCUCAGGCUGCAUGGACAGUGCCCAGGGCUCUAAUGUGUCUCUCACAACUUGUUAAGCCUGAGACAGCUGCAUUGUGUGGGACUGAGAUGUGGGAUUUCUUCAUGUCUCCCCUUUGUGAAUUGAAGAGCCUCUGGCAUCUCUUUCUGCAAAGGCAUCUGAAUGUGUCUGCGUCCCUGUUAACAUAAUGUGAGGAGGUGGAGAGACAGCCCACCCCAUGUCCACCGUGACCCCUGUCCCCACGCUGACCUGUGUUCCCUCCCCAGUCAUCUUUCCUGUUCCAGAGAGGUGGGGCUGGGUGUCUCCAUCUCUGUCUCAACUUCCUGGUUCACUGAACUACAACCUCUUUCUUACUGAAAAUGAAAAUCUGAGUAUGAAUUUGUUUUCUCAAAUAUUUGCCAUGAGAGGUUGAUGAGUUAAUUAAAUAAGUCAAUUCUUAAAAUUUGAGAGAGAAAAUAAAGACCUGAGAACCUUCCAGAAUCCA